rnacentral:rRNA from 1 species
GACAGAGGGUGCAAACGUUGUUCGGAUUUACUGGGCGUAAAGCGCGUGUAGGCUGCUUGGAAAGUCGGAUGUGAAAGCCCUGGGCUCAACCUAGGAAGUGCAUUCGAAACUUCCAAGCUGGAGUGCUGGAGAGGAAGGCGGAAUUCUCGGUGUAGAGGUGAAAUUCGUAGAUAUCGAGAGGAACACCGGUGGCGAAGGCGGCCUUCUGGACAGUAACUGACGCUGAGACGCGAAAGCGUGGGGAGCAAACAGG